CCAGGAGGUUGGCUUAGAAGCAGCCAUCCUUGAAAGAGUGCGUAAUAGCUCACUGGUCGAGUGAUUGGGCGCCGACAAUUCAACGGGGCUCAAGCGGAGUACCGAAGCCGCGGAUCUGGUCUCAGCUUGCUGAGAUCAGGUGGUAGGGGAGCGUUCCGUUCAGCAGUGAAGGCGGACCCGCGAGGGCCGCUGGAGCGGACGGAAGUGAGAAUGCCGGUAUGAGUAGCGAAAGGCGUGUGAGAACCACGCCCACCGAAUACCUCAGGGUUCCUACGGCAGGGCAAUCCGCGUAGGGUUAGGCGGGCCUAAGCCGAGGCCGAAAGGCGUAGGCGAUGGACAGACGGUUCAUAUUCCGUCCCCGCUGAGUGUGUGCCUGAGCGACAGGGGCGACCCGGGAAGAUAGCGUGAGCGGGCCUAAUGGACAUGGUCCGUCGCGCCGCGUACGCGUCGAGCGGGGUUCAAAGACCGCUCGGUUAAGCAGAGGCGGCGCGGAAGCGGCGACGUCAGUCAAAGCGACUCGUGUGACACCCUCGGCCAGAAAACCCUCGGUCGCGAAUACAUUCAGCGCCCGUACCGCACACCGACACAGGUAGGUGAGGGUAAGUACCUCCAGGUGGACGAGUGAUUCCUCGCUAAGGAACUCGGCAAAAUAGUUCCGUAACUUCGGGAGAAGGAACGCCUCGCGGCUGGUCCCCGACUCGCUCGGGCGAACGGCCGGAGGCCGCAGCGAGCAGGCCCAGGCGACUGUUUAACAAAAACACAGGUCUCUGCGAACGCGAAAGCGGACGUAUAGGGGCUGACGCCUGCCCAGUGCUGGAAGGUUAAGGGGAGGGCUUCACGGCUCGAACCGAAGCCCCAGUGAACGGCGGCCGUAACUAUAACGGUCCUAAGGUAGCGAAAUUCCUUGUCGGGUAAGUUCCGACCCGCACGAAUGGCGUAACGAUCUGGGCACUGUCUCGGCGAGGAGCUCGGCGAAAUUGAAGUGGCCGUGAAGAUGCGGCCUCCCCGCAGAUGGACAAAAAGACCCCGUGGAGCUUUACUACAGCUUGACAUUGAAGGUCGCCUUAUGAUGCGUAGGAUAGGUGGGAGCCGGCGAACUCGGGCUUGCGGGCCCGGGGGAGGCAACCUUGGAAUACCACCCUUCGUAUGGUGUCCUUCUAACGCGUGAGCAAGCACGCGGACCGUGUCUGGUGGGUAGUUUGACUGGGGCGGUCGCCUCCCAAACAGUAACGGAGGCGCGCAACGGUUCCCUUAGGGUGGAUGGAAAUCACCUGUCACGUGUAUUGGCAUAAGGGAGCUUGACUGCGAGACUGACACGUCGAGCAGGGACGAAAGUCGGCCAAAGUGAUCCUACGGUUCCGAGUGGUAGGGCCGUGGCUUAUCGGAUAAAAGUUACCCCGGGGAUAACAGGCUUAUCUCGCCCGAGAGUUCACAUCGCCGGCGAGGUUUGGCACCUCGAUGUCGGCUCGUCGCAUCCUGGGGCUGAAGCAGGUCCCAAGGGUUGGGCUGUUCGCCCAUUAAAGCGGCACGCGAGCUGGGUUCAGAACGUCGUGAGACAGUUCGGUCUCUAUCCUCUGUGGGCGUUGGAGCGUUGCGGGGAACUGCCCCUAGUACGAGAGGACCGGGGUGGACGGACCGCUGGUGUGCCAGUUGGAGGGCCGACCUCCACCGCUGGGUAGCCAUGUCCGGACAGGAGAAGCGCUGAAAGCAUCUAAGCGCGAAACCAACCUCAAGAUGAGCGCUCCCUCCGCCAUUGAGCGGAUAAGGCCACGGGAAGACGACCCGUUUGAUAGGCGACAGGUGGAAGCCCGGUAACGGGUGCAGCUGAGUCGUACUAAUGGCCGAACGGCUUGACCUG
rnacentral:rRNA from 1 species